rnacentral:misc_RNA from 1 species
UUUUGCAGACCACCUGGCAAUUUGUUGUCAUUGCGACACACUCUUUUGGCAGUCCAUUGGGCAUCCAUGCUUCAGUGAUUCUGAGCUGAAGUCAAGGCCACUCUCCCCAGAGGCCUUCCUAGACCUGUUUGUGUUGUAAAAGGCAUUUCCAAGACGAUUGUCAUUUGGAGAAACAGUGCCCAGAACGGGAUAUAAUGAUCUGAUGUUUGUUGUAUCUCCACCAAUUAAAUAGAAGAUCUGAGACCACAAUUACAGUGAAAUUAAGAGUCGCAAAACAAUGUCGCAAUUCAAUUUUCGUUGACUUGAGCAAUGUUGGAUGCAUGAAACAAUAUUGACUGUGUCAAUGAUUACCGUUAACAUUGUCUCUAGCAAUGAAGUAACUUUGCAAUAUUCAUACACUGCAUUCAAAAUCCAUCCAUAUUGAAGAUUUGGAGAAUGAAAAUCAUUUUUACUUUCAAGUUUAUGUAACUGUAUAUGGAACAUGGUGGAUGUUCCUAAGAACUCUCUGGUUAAUUUAGUACAGUAACAUGCCGUGUUGAUAUUGCUAUUUGAUGGUGUAUUUACACCACUGAAUGAGGAGGAGGAAACACUUGACAAGUAUUCUAGUUUUUUUCUGUAAUUAAUAUAAUUGAAAAUGAAGCAAGUGUUUCAUGUAUAAAAUUGGAUGUAUAUAAAUUUUGACAUUUUCAGUAUUUUUUAUGUUGUCGUUGCAAAUUCCAAUGCAAUUAUGUUUACUUGUUGUUGUGCCAAGGGCUUUCUCAGUGCUUUCAAAUAAUCAUAUUUCUUUAUUUAUAUAAGUAUAGUUUAAUUUUGUUGAAAAUGCGUAAAUUAGUGCAAUUUUGUAAAUACACAUUAUACAUAUCCAGUAUCACUUUAUCUUAUCAUGAAUGUUCCAGGAUAAGAUUUAGUGAUUCCUUUCUUGUUGUACGGGGAGAAAUAAUCUACAGCAGUGUGUUAUUUAGAAAUCUACAAAGUUUGUCAUUUCUAUGUGAACAGAAAUUAAUUUUUGAUGAAAUGAAUAUCAAACUACAUGUAUUCCUAUCGAUGUCAAUUUUGAAUCAGUUGUUAUAUUUAAAAAUGAAACUACAAAAAGAUCAACUACAAAGAAUUUUUUUUCCAAAUAUUAAAAAAACAACAACAUUUUUUAAAAAUUAUAAUUGAACAAAUAGUUUUAUGAAAAAUAUGUCUCAAAAGUGAUUUGACAAUAUGCCUUUAAAGUUAUUGAAUUUAAAUGUGUUUUUUUAUAACUAGUGUUUUUUACAAAUAUGAAAAGAUAUUUAACAUUAUUAAUAAUUCCUGAUAAUUCAUGAUGACAGAUUUGGAAAUUUUAAAGAUCAAAUGUUAAUAAAGUUUUAUUAUCCUCCACCCCCCCCCCCCCCCCCCCCCACUAAUGUACUGGUAUUUCAUGUUUGUGUGAUGUGAUGAAUUAUUAAAUAUUAAUCCUCUAUCCUUGUCAUAAAUUUGCUACUUUCUGUGCAUUUUUCUAAAUAAGUUAUAAUGUAUAUAACUUGUUUUUAAAAUCGUUUUGUAUGGGAAAUUGAAAAUGGAGAGAUUGAGUGAUGGAGAGAAGCGAGUCUUAAUUGUCAUGUAAAAGUAUGAACUCUAUAGUACUAGUAUAUUUAACAAGUACUGAAACUAUUGAGGACUUUGUUUUGUUGUUGCAUUUACUUUUACCUUCCCUAAUGUGAAGUGUUGAUAUUAUUAAAGUACAAAUUGUU